CUCGCACUUUGCGCUCCAGCUGGCGGCUCCGCGUGUCCGCCCGAGAGGGGGCCGUCCGCUCGGGACCCCCGUCCCCCAGCCCGCCACCGGCCCGCCCCCCAGGCAUUGCACGGCUCCGGGCCUCCCUCUCCGCCGGUCGGUCGGUCGGUCGGUCGGUCCUAUUUACGGAGCGCUCACUCCGGGCCGAGCGCUCGCCAAGUACCAUUCGGCGACACGUAGGGACCGGCCUCCGCCCAGCCACGGGCUGGCGGGCCACGAGCGGGAGGAGACACCCCGCGCAACGAGGAGUCGGGACCAUCGAAAGGGACCCGAUCACAGAUAGAUGCGCAGCGAUGAUGUACCCGAGGCACAGCGAGGCGCCGAGGCCUAAAGUCACACGGCGGACGACAGGCGGUCCGGAUCGGAACCCGGGUCCUCUGACUCCCAAGCCCGUGCUCUUUCCGCUGAGCCGGAUGCCGUCGAUCGUAUUUGCGCGCUUACUUUGUGCGGGGCACUGUAAUAAUAAUAAUUACGGUAUCA